rnacentral:rRNA from 1 species
AGAGUUUGAUCAUGGCUCAGAGCGAACGCUGGCGGCAGGCCUAACACAUGCAAGUCGAACGCCCCUUUCGGGGGGAGUGGCAGACGGGUGAGUAACACGUGGGAACGUGCCCUUUGGUUCGGAACAACUCCGGGAAACUGGAGCUAAUGCCGGAUAAGCCCCUGGGAUUUCGUCUUAGGGGGAAAGAUUCAUCGCCGAAGGAUCGGCCCGCGUCUGAUUAGCUUGUUGGUGAGGUAACGGCUCACCAAGGCGACGAUCAGUAGCUGGUCUGAGAGGAUGAUCAGCCACACUGGGACUGAGACACGGCCCAGACUCCUACGGGAGGCAGCAGUGGGGAAUAUUGGACAAUGGGCGCAAGCCUGAUCCAGCCAUGCCGCGUGAGUGAUGAAGGCCCUAGGGUUGUAAAGCUCUUUCGCACGCGACGAUAAUGACGGUAGCGUGAGAAGAAGCCCCGGCUAACUUCGUGCCAGCAGCCGCGGUAAUACGAAGGGGGCUAGCGUUGCUCGGAAUCACUGGGCGUAAAGGGCGCGUAGGCGGAUCUUUAAGUCAGAGGUGAAAGCCCAAGGCUCAACCUUGGAAUUGCCUUUGAUACUGAGGAUCUUGAGACCGGUAGAGGUAAGUGGAACUGCGAGUGUAGAGGUGAAAUUCGUAGAUAUUCGCAAGAACACCAGUGGCGAAGGCGGCUUACUGGACCGGUUCUGACGCUGAGGCGCGAAAGCGUGGGGAGCAAACAGGAUUAGAUACCCUAGUAGUCC